GAUGAACGCUGGCGGCGUGCUUAACACAUGCAAGUCGAACGGAAAGGCCCAAGCUUGCUUGGGUACUCGAGUGGCGAACGGGUGAGUAACACGUGGGUGAUCUGCCCUGCACUUCGGGAUAAGCCUGGGAAACUGGGUCUAAUACCGGAUAGGACCACUUCUUGGAUGUUGUGGUGGAAAGUUUUUUCGGUGUGGGAUGAGCUCGCGGCCUAUCAGCUUGUUGGUGGGGUAAUGGCCUACCAAGGCGUCGACGGGUAGCCGGCCUGAGAGGGUGUACGGCCACAUUGGGACUGAGAUACGGCCCAGACGCCUACGGGAGGCAGCAGUGGGGAAUAUUGCACAAUGGGCGCAAGCCUGAUGCAGCGACGCCGCGUGGGGGAUGACGGCCUUCGGGUUGUAAACUCCUUUCGCUAGGGACGAAGCGUUUUGUGACGGUACCUGGAGAAGAAGCUCCGGCUAACUACGUG
rnacentral:rRNA from 1 species